AUCUAUAGCCACACCACCCUGAAAAACACCCAAACUCAUCUGAUCUCGGAAGCUAGGCAGAGCCCAGCCUAGCUAGUACUCGGAUGGGAGAAAAGAAUAUGCAAAGUCCUAGAAGAGAAGACAAGUAUGACACAUU
rnacentral:rRNA from 1 species